rnacentral:lncRNA from 1 species
GUACCCGGUCCGGGUCGGCUGGGCUGCCCGCCUCUCCGCGCGCCCGGGCGGUUGCAGGUCGCGCCUGCUUUGGCCCCGGCGGGUUCGGCAUCCGAGCCUGGCAGGGGCCAAUAGAAAGUUUCCUACACUACUGAGGUUUAGGGGCACUGUGAAGCAAAAGCCACGCCUCAGAAUCCCAGGCGGAGACUCCGACCUCCUCCCGGGAGGGAAGCCAGUAGCUGAGCACCUGCGGGAGAUUAAAGAGAGGAAUAAGGAGGUGAGUACAUGACAAAGAGCCACAGUCGCAGUCAGUGGGGCCUGGCUCAGAACAGGCUGUGCUGGGAAGCGGGAGCAGGAGCUGGCGCCGCCUUGCGGGCUGGCAGAGGACCAUCCACUCCCUGGCGCUGGGGCCGUCCCAUCUCAUGGGCAAGAAACGUGAGACCCCUGGCUCGCUCCACACACAACCUAAGUGCCAGAUGGAUGAGACGCCUACGCGUGAGUAAAUGCCAGGAACAUGAGACUCGAACGUGGCAGGAUAUCCUUCUGCCCACGAAUCUAAAAGCUUACUCGGUAAUGGGAGAAUGGUUCCAAUUUGAUAAACUCGGGUUUUUAGAACGUCUGUGCUCCAGAAACACUGGAAGGCAAGUGGCUGCUCGCUGGAGGAGAUAAUUGGAUGCUGCAAGCGGCAAAGGGCUCGGGAUGCAAAACACCGCAAGAAAUGCGACAAGGGAGGAGCAUUCCCGCAAAGAAAAAACGCACAGGCCGAGAGCAGUGGCUCACGCCUGU